rnacentral:lncRNA from 1 species
CGGCUCUCUGUGGAUUACGGAAAGAAGUCCAAGCUGGAGUUCUCCAUUUACCCAGCCCCCCAGGUUUCCACUGCUGUGGUUGAGCCCUACAAUUCCAUCCUCACCACCCACACCACCCUGGAGCACUCUGAUUGUGCCUUCAUGGUAGACAAUGAGGCCAUCUAUGACAUCUGUCGUAGAAACCUCGACAUUGAGCGCCCAACCUACACCAACCUUAACCG